GACGGUUUGGUCUAGCGGUUAGGAUCUGACAUUCGGGUUGUCGGGGUCAGGGGUUCGAAUCCCCUAACCGUCC